UGGGGAAUAUUGCACAAUGGGCGCAAGCCUGAUGCAGCCAUGCCGCGUGUAUGAAGAAGGCCUUCGGGUUGUAAAGUACUUUCAGUCGGGAGGAAGGUGGUAAGGUUAAUAACCUUAUCAAUUGACGUUACCGACAGAAGAAGCACCGGCUAACUCAGUGCCAGCAGCCGCGGUAAUACGGAGGGUGCAAGCGUUAAUCGGAAUUACUGGGCGUAAAGCGCACGCAGGCGGUUGAUUGAGUCAGAUGUGAAAUCCCCGGGCUUAACCCGGGAAUUGCAUCUGAUACUGGUCAGCUAGAGUCUUGUAGAGGGGGGUAGAAUUCCAUGUGUAGCGGUGAAAUGCGUAGAGAUGUGGAGGAAUACCGGUGGCGAAGGCGGCCCCCUGGACAAAGACUGACGCUCAGGUGCGAAAGCGUGGGGAGCAAACAGG
rnacentral:rRNA from 1 species